UACGAAGGGGGCUAGCGUUGCUCGGAAUUACUGGGCGUAAAGAGUGUGUAGGCGGUGCUCUAAGUUCGGUGUGAAAUCUCCCGGCUUAACUGGGAGGGUGCGCCGGAAACUGGAGUGCUCGAGCGUGGGAGAGGAAAGCGGAAUUCCUGGUGUAGCGGUGAAAUGCGUAGAUAUCAGGAGGAACACCAAUGGCGAAGGCAGAUCUCUGGGCCGUAACUGACGCUGAGGAGCGAAAGCAUGGGGAGCGAACAGG
rnacentral:rRNA from 1 species